GCGAGAGUGGCGAAAUUGGUAGACGCAAUUGGUUUAGGUCCAAUCGGUAGAGAUACUGUGCAGGUUCGAGUCCUGUCUCUCGCACCA
rnacentral:tRNA from 1 species